rnacentral:lncRNA from 1 species
AAAUGCAAUGGCCUUCACAUAAUUGUCCACACUGAUACCCUCCCCUUUGAUUUAUGGGGGAGGGGGAACCAUGUGGAGGUUUGUACAUAGAUAGAGAACCUCUCAUGAAGCACAGAGAUUUGAAAUUAAAACAAUCUUCAUUAACCAAGUCAAUUCAAUAUGGCUUGUUGGUCUCAAUAUUGGAAGCACUUUGAGGGAAUGAGAGCCACUCGGACGCAGUUUGCAUUGUCGGAUAGAGUGAUAAAUGGAUUUGGAUUCUCUGCUCUUAUCCAAUCAUGCAAUUGUUAAUCGAAACCGUCAGAUUAAGAUUAAAAUUCUCACGUUCUGACUUUGUAUUCUGAAUUUGAUUUACUAAAGUUGUACUCUGAUCGUGAUCAAAUAGUCUAGAUUACGUGACUGUGCCGAAUGAGUGAUUUCAUAUGCAGGAAAUCUUUAUCUUGAUUUCACAUUUGCAUUGGUGGCAUCUCUGUUGAUUUUCCGGUAAACCUGAGUUUCUAAACUAUGGUUCUGGAAAGUUAUUAUGUUACUUUCAAAAUGGUUGUUGAUAAAAAAGUGGUUGUGAAAAGUUAUUAUGUUACUUUCAAAGUUAUAGCAAUGUUAUGCAACUAAAAAAGAGAAAUAUGACUUGUUUGAUAAUAGUACUAAAAUGUGGUGUGAUUUAGUAUGUUUUUUUACCUUGAAAAUGCUUAUAUCACUAAAAGUGGCUCAUAAUUUCAAUAGAGAUAACAUCAGCAAUACAAAUUAGUAUGACUAUAAAUAUGGUGACGAGAUGAAAAAUAGUAAUCUUAUAAAGCUACUCGUUUAACAUUAACUACGCAAUUUGCUUGACGUUUUAGAUCGCAAUUUUGCCAAAAAAAUCAACACAUUGCUUCUCUUCGCGCAGAGGGUGUGGCGGAGAUCCACAACACAAUAACAUAAGCAUGCAGAGACGGAGUUGUUUCUUUAAUCAAUGCGAGAGCAUUUAGAGAAUCAAAACAACAAAUAACAUUUCUGAGUCCAUGAAAAAUACCAAGUAAUUCUGCAUGGAGAAUAUUACUCACACAAAGGUGACCAUGAUAGCUAAUGAUCCGAUCACCAAACCCGGCGAUUCCAGGAUUUCCAAUGACACUUUCAUCAACAUUUAGAAUCGUAGCAUCUUCUCAAGACUCGUACCAAGAAACGCUGUUGAUGUUUCGGCUAAGGUUCUCAUUUGGAAAACAAGCUGAAAUGACAUUACCAAGGACAACGGUAACCGAAAUGAGUUUAUAAAGAUAGAAACUCUCCUUAGCUAUACACAUAGAAUUUCUAGCUCUCUUAAGAGACUAAUGUGAUCACCCAAAGUUCCAGCUUUCAGCAACUCAACAACAUCAUUUUGAAGGAAAAAAAUUAGGAUCGUUAAAGCCAAGCUGUAACCACAAUAUGAUGUGAUGAUUACAAAUAUUGGCCCUAGUUUAAUCUUCUGUUAAUGUUUUUUUUUUUUUUUUCGUUUGGACAAGAUAUAAGUGCUUGUUGAUUACUUUUACUUAGG